rnacentral:rRNA from 1 species
GCCCAGUCGUAAAAUAUUAACUUACGCACAAAAACGCCCGGGAACUACGAGCUCUAGCUUAAAACCCAAAGGACUUGACGGUGUCCCACCCAACUAGAGGAGCCUGUCCUAUAAUCGAUGGUCCCCGAUAUACCCAACCUUUUCUUGCUCAUCAGUCUGUAUACCUCCGUCGCAAAUCUACCAUAUGAAUGAUAUAUAGUUCGGUUCAAUGAUCACUUCAUCAGAACGUCAGGUCAAGGUGCAACCUAUGAAAAGGCAAGUGAUGGGCUACAAUUUCUAACCUAGAACAAACGAAAUACUGCAUGAAACACAGGAACGAAGGAGGAUUUAGAAGUAAAGAGAAAAUAACGUGUUCUCUUUAACAUGGCCCUGGGACAUGUACACACCGCCCGUCGCCCUCUUCGAUACGAAUACUUCAGUUUUUAACCUAACAACAUAUGAGAGAAGAGGUAAGUCGUAACAUGGUAAGUGUACUGGAAAGUGCACUUGGAAUAACAAAAUGUAGCUUAUUACAUAAAGCACCUCGCUUACACCGAGUAGAAGUCUGUUAAACCCGGACCAUUUUGAGCCUUAAACCAAGCCUAAUCCUUUAUGCCCAUGACGCACCCAACCAUUUUAAUACCUGAUAAAACAUUUUGUUUAUCUAGUAGAGGCGAUCAAAAAAAUCUUUAGAGCUUCAAAAAUAGUACCGCAAGGGAAUGGUGAAAUAGUUUUGAAAUAGCAAUAAAGCAUAUUACAGCAGAGUAUACCCCUCG